AGCAUAAAUGAUGACCAUCGGGACUUAAUACUGAUAUUUAUCAUGAUGUCCUUAGAUGCAUGCUGAUGUGU